GUUCCAACCAGCUUUGAGGGAAGAGGAGUUUAGGUUGGAAGAUUGUCCUGGAGAGAAAGCACUCUGUCCCCCUACCCACUGGGAGUUCUUUACCUGGAAGCUAUCCAUGUACCCUACAUGACUAUGCUUGUUAUGUACGAGCAGUUGUGGGGGCCUUGAGAAUGAACAGCACUCGUGUGGAGUUUCCUGUGACACCUCUGCAAGAGCGCUACUCAGCUGGGAUCCUGCUGAUGACUUCGGAUGCUUCACAGACCUCAGGUGCUCAUGCGUGGGUGUCUGCAGAACAAAUAACUUCGGAUGACGCAAGCAAGUGAGCCAAGCCAUAUGUUGCAGAGGAAAGCAUCCUUGCCUUCUCUCCAUGAUGGUUGGCCAAUGGGACCUGUAGGUCCAGUGCCAUGUGCCAACACCUCCUCAAAUUUUCUCUCUUCCACUACUUUCCCCUCAGUGACACCAAACAAAUUUCUGCUGACACACAGGAUGGGAGUCUGACCUGCACCACUGGCUUUGAUCAACAUUGCAACUGUGAAAGAAGCUGCAGCCAUGGCUUCUCAUUCCUCUGCUGGUGGGCGAUGGGACUGGGGUGGGGUGGAGGAGCAGCACAAGGGUCCCUGGAGUUGCAUAUUCUCAUAGUCUAGGGAAAUUAAAUAUGUGAGUGUGAGAUGACUGACCUCUGGUUUUGACCUGGCAACUAUAUACCACCUCGCCCCCAGAUUGGAGUAUCCUAGGGAUCGCAUCAUUGCAAUGGAGUAUGCCCUUAUAAGCAUGCAAAUCACUUCUGGAGGUUCAAGCUGCUAGCAAAUCCUAAAUGUCCAUAUGAUUAACAAAGGAACUAAGCUUUCUGCAGAUGGAUGCAACAGGCUUGCCUCACUUAGCUGCUACCUUUCCCCAGAUCUCACCUCACCCAGCCUGAAUCUGUAUCCUUGCUUUGCUUUGUGUAGCUAAUCCACUAAUCCCUAUAAGGUCUGAAAAGGAAAUGUGGACUGACCCCUUCGCAUGCAACUGGAUGUCCAACUUUGGCCAGAGCAAAUGAGUAAAAGGACCAAGACCAUCCCCCAUCCCCACACAUCUUCAUACUCCUCACUUGCUGGGGCUGAGGACUCCAGAAUGUCAUGCCACCUG